rnacentral:rRNA from 1 species
GACGAACGCUGGCGGCGUGCUUAACACAUGCAAGUCGAACGGAAAGGCCCUGCUUUUGUGGGGUGCUCGAGUGGCGAACGCGUGAGUAACACGUGAGUAACCUGCCCUUGACUUUGGGAUAACUUCAGGAAACUGGGGCUAAUACCGGAUAGGAGCUCCUUCUGCAUGGUGGGGGUUUGAAAGUUUCGGCGGUUGGGGAUGGACUCGCGGCUUAUCAGCUUGUUGGUGGGGUAGUGGCUUACCAAGGCUUUGACGGGUAGCCGGCCUGAGAGGGUGACCGGCCACAAUGGGACUGAGAUAGGGCCAAGACGGCUACGGGAGGAAGCAGUGGGGAAUAUUGCACAAUGGGCGGAAGCCUGAUGCAGCAACGCCGCGUGCGGGAUGACGGCCUUCGGGUUGUAAACCGCUUUCGACUGUGACGAAGCGUGAGUGACGGUAAUGGGUAAAGAAGCACCGGCUAACUACGUG